UUCCGGUUGAUCCUGCCGGACCCGACUGCUAUCAGAGUGGGACUAAGCCAAGCGAGUCAACGUAGCAAUACGUGGCAUACGGCUCAGUAACACGUAGUCAACAUGCCCAGGGGACGAGGAUAACCUCGGGAAACUGAGGAUAAACCUCGAUAGGCCAUGAUUUCUGGAAUGAUUCUUGGCUCAAACCUAUAUGGCCCCUGGAUUGGACUGCGGCCGAUCAGGCUGUUGGUGAGGUAAUGGCCCACCAAACCUAUUACCGGUACGGGCUCUGAGAGGAGGAGCCCGGAGAUGGGCACUGAGACAAGGGCCCAGGCCCUAUGGGGCGCAGCAGGCGCGAAACCUCUGCAAUAGGCGAAAGCUUGACAGGGUUACUCUGAGUGGUUUCCGCUAAGGGAAUCUUUUGGCACCUCUAAAAAUGGUGCAGAAUAAGGGGUGGGCAAGUCUGGUGUCAGCCGCCGCGGUAAUACCAGCACCCCGAGUGGUCGGGACGAUUAUUGGGCCUAAAGCAUUCGUAGCCGGUCCUGCAAGUCUUCCGUUAAAUCCAGCUGCUCAACAGAUGGGCUGCGGGAGAUACUACAGGGCUAGGAGGCGGGAGAGGCAAGCGGUACUUUAUGGGUAGGGGUAAAAUCCGCUGAUCCAUAGAAGACCACCAGUGGCGAAGGCGGCUUGCCAGAACGCGCUCGACGGUGAGGGAUGAAAGCUGGGGGAGCAAACCGGAUUAGAUACCCGGGUAGUCCCAG
rnacentral:rRNA from 1 species